CCUACGGGUGGCAGCAGUGAGGAAUAUUGGUCAAUGGGCGGGAGCCUGAACCAGCCAAGCCGCGUGAGGGAAGAAGGUACAGCGUAUCGUAAACCUCUUUUGUCAGGGAACAAAGGCGGGGACUAGUCCCCGGAUGAGGGUACCUGACGAAAAAGCAUCGGCUAACUCCGUGCCAGCAGCCGCGGUAAUACGGAGGAUGCGAGCGGUAUCCGGAUUUAUUGGGUUAAACGGGUUCGCGGGCGGCCUGUUAAGUCAGCGGGAAAAGCCCGGGGCUAAACCCCGGCGAGCCGUUGAAACUGGCGGGCUGGAGUUGGAGAGAAGUACGCGGAAUGCGCGGUGUAGCGGUGAAAUGCUUAGAGAUCGCGCAGAACCCCGAUUGCGAAGGCAGCGUACCGGCUCCACACUGACGCUGAGGCACGAAAGCGUGGGUAUCGAACAGGAUUAGAUACCCCUGUAGUC
rnacentral:rRNA from 1 species